rnacentral:lncRNA from 1 species
UUCUCUUUCUUUAGUCGCUCUAGGAGCCGUUGAGAGGUUGAGUUGAUAGCUUCUGGGCUAGAGUGUUCUCUUUGGUCAGUAGAACCGCGUGUGAUCCAUCUGGGGCAGAGUCAGUCUGCCGGUUCAGUUCUGUGUCAGUUGAGGGUAGAUGCCUUCCACUCGACUUUGAGGUCCUAGACUUGAUUGUCUGGACGUCAGUUUAGGGUUGGACUGGGUUUUUCUACUCGUGGUGCUAUCUUGGUCUGCAGAGACGAGGUAGUCAAGUUCAAAGGACAGGAUGGGUCAGA